rnacentral:tRNA from 1 species
UGAAGAUUAGUUAAUUAAUAACGUAAGCCUGUCCAGCUUAAGUAAUUCUUUUUAGAAUAUUUUCAG